AGAGUUUGAUCCUGGCUCAGGAUGAACGCUGGCGGCGUGCCUAAUACAUGCAAGUCGAACGCACAGCGAAAGGUGCUUGCACCUUUCAAGUGAGUGGCGAACGGGUGAGUAACACGUGGACAACCUGCCUCAAGGCUGGGGAUAACAUUUGGAAACAGAUGCUAAUACCGAAUAAAACUUAGUGUCGCAUGACACAAAGUUAAAAGGCGCUUCGGCGUCACCUAGAGAUGGAUCCGCGGUGCAUUAGUUAGUUGGUGGGGUAAAGGCCUACCAAGACAAUGAUGCAUAGCCGAGUUGAGAGACUGAUCGGCCACAUUGGGACUGAGACACGGCCCAAACUCCUACGGGAGGCUGCAGUAGGGAAUCUUCCACAAUGGGCGAAAGCCUGAUGGAGCAACGCCGCGUGUGUGAUGAAGGCUUUCGGGUCGUAAAGCACUGUUGUAUGGGAAGAACAGCUAGAAUAGGAAAUGAUUUUAGUUUGACGGUACCAUACCAGAAA
rnacentral:rRNA from 1 species